UUGANCGGUNCKUNAUGGUANCUUCUCUUCGGNGCAGAGGUGANAGGUGGKGCAUGGUUGUCGUCAGCUCGUGUCGUGAGAUGUUGGGUUAAGUCCCGCAACGAGCGCAACCCUUAUCUUUAGUAGCCAGCAGUUCGGCUGGGCACUCUAGAGAGACUGCCGGGGAUAACCCGGAGGAAGGUGGGGAUGACGUCAAAUCAUCAUGCCCCYUAUGAUUUGGGCUA
rnacentral:rRNA from 1 species